GAUGAACGCUGGCGGCGUGCCUAAUACAUGCAAGUCGAGCGAACAGAUAAGGAGCUUGCUCCUUUGACGUUAGCGGCGGACGGGUGAGUAAUACGUGGAUAACCUACCUAUAAGACUGGGAUAACUUCGGGAAACCGGAGCUAAUACCGGAUAACAUAUUGAACCGCAUGGUUCAAUAGUGAAAGGCGGCUUUGCUGUCACUUAUAGAUGGAUCCGCGCCGUAUUAGCUAGUUGGUAAGGUAACGGCUUACCAAGGCAACGAUACGUAGCCGACCUGAGAGGGUGAUCGACCACACUGGAACUGAGACACGGUCCAGACUCCUACGGGAGGCAGGAGUAGGGAAUCUUCCGCAAUGGGCGAAAGCCUGACGGAGCAACGCCGCGUGAGUGAUGAAGGUCUUCGGAUCGUAAAACUCUGUUAUCAGGGAAGAACAAAUGUGUAAGUAACUGUGCACAUCUUGACGGUACCUGAUCAGAAAGCCACGGCUAACUACGUG
rnacentral:rRNA from 1 species